GAUGAACGCUGGCGGCGUGCCUAAUACAUGCAAGUCGAGCGAACAGACGAGGAGCUUGCUCCUCUGACGUUAGCGGCGGACGGGUGAGUAACACGUGGAUAACCUACCUAUAAGACUGGGAUAACUUCGGGAAACCGGAGCUAAUACCGGAUAAUAUAUUGAACCGCAUGGUUCAAUAGUGAAAGACGGUUUUGCUGUCACUUAUAGAUGGAUCCGCGCCGCAUUAGCUAGUUGGUAAGGUAACGGCUUACCAAGGCGACGAUGCGUAGCCGACCUGAGAGGGUGAUCGGCCACACGGGAACUGAGCCACGGUCCAGACUCCUACGGGAGGCAGCAGUAGGGAAUCUGCCGCAAUGGGCGAAAGCCUGACGGAGCAACGCCGCGUGAGUGAUGAAGGUCUUCGGAUCGUAAAACUCUGUUAUUAGGGAAGAACAAAUGUGUAAGUAACUAUGCACGUCUUGACGGUACCUAAUCAGAAAGCCACGGCUAACUACGUG
rnacentral:rRNA from 1 species